CUUAAUGAUACAUCGCAUUUCAAACAAAAGAUUCAGGAAAGUACAGAAAACGUAUGGAUUCAAUGGAUUAGUGUUUGUUUGCUGGCGCAUAUUUCUUCUUUUAAUAUGUCAAGAUAGUUGUACGACGACUUUGCAUUCAUCUACAGACUUUCUCCUGCCGAUUUGCCAUUGGAAUUUAAACUGAAGAUGAAUUGCUACAUGAAGCGAUUUGGAAAAAUUCCAUUAGGCAUAUCUCUUGGUGGUUUCUUCUAUAUAAAAGAAGAUUUUUUCAUCAAGGUUAGUACAAUAUAUGACAUUUUUUAAACAGUACAGUAAUCUUAAAUCGUAGGGGGGUGUUGAGGUAGCUUAAAAUCACUUUGUAGUUACCUCA
rnacentral:lncRNA from 1 species